CUCUUACCUCAGGUUAAAAAGUUUAGUGUAUUGAAAGGUCUAAGAGUAAUCAUGUCCUCACCUUGAGCCCUCUUCAGAGCCCUCUCGAUGACCACAUGCCAGUUUGAUGUCAUUACCACAGUGGACACGUGCCGUUAUUGUGGUACUCGAGCCACACGUCAUCUUGUCUAUAUAUUUAUCAUUUUGUAAAGAUGAGAUGCAGAGUGCCUCGUUAGGACCCUGCCCUGCCCAUCGUCCCUCAGGAGAGCCUCUGUGCUGUGGCUGUGGCUGUGUUUGUAGCAGACAUUCUGGGUGUGGGAGAGUUGGAGGGUCUUUCUCCUGAAACCUCAUUCUCAGCAGAGGAUCCUUUCCAGGGAGGAGCCUAUUCAGAGCUUCCUGUGGCCUCCCAGCUCCCAGCUCACAAAAAACAUCACGCAGGACUCUGGACUACCUACCCUUCUGAAAUGAUUGCGGGGGUAACAUACAGUAAGAAGGUGGAUCUGGCAUGCAGGUGCUGUGCUAUGAGCUGCUAGGGGGAAAGCUGUCCUUCAGGAACACCGCACACAGUGAGACCUACAGACAUACAUCCGAGAGGAUGGGCACACCUGAGGCAUCUAUGGUGGAGCUACUCUAUGACGGUUGCUGGGCUUGAGCUGUCUGGAUGUAACCAGAGGGAGCCUAUAUGGUCAUGAGCAGGGGUCUGAAUGGAUUCAGGGAAUACGGAGGCGCUGAUAGAAGGAAACUAUCAGACUUGCUUUCUUCUUCCUGAGGGAGAGUCACUGCUUAUAGAGGACGCGCUUUCCUGUGAGGAUUAGAGAUGGUCGUUCAUCCUGGUUCCGAAGCCGGCUCCCUCUACUGCUCUCCUUAACACCAUGGAUAAUUUUCAGCAGAGAAAUUGUAUUGUUCAUUAGUUAUGGGCCUUACGAUGCCAACUGAGAAAUAUCCUGAUAUCAACCAUGUUAAAACCUUGUACAGUCUCUAUUUCCAGUUUCACAAGUCAACAUUCAUCCCUGGAACACCCCAAGUGUAUUUUAUUUAUUGUUUUGUCUCUUCUUCCUACCAGGUGUUUCCUAAGGCCCGAGGGGCUGCUGGCCAAGGUCAUAUCUGGCUUGUCACUCUGCAGUCAACUGUGACAAAAGUUUUAGGUUGACACUUGUCCUUUCUAAUGUCAUCCUUAAUAUGUUUCUCUCCCUUUCCUAUUUGCUCUCCCACGGACACAGGGCACCCUGCAUCUCCUGACAUUGUCAGACUUCAUUUAAUUCCCUCCUCAUUAAAAAAUGCCCAGCCCCCUUGUAGCCCAUGCUAUCAGGCUAUAACUCCUGCUCCCACUUCUUAAGUCAUUACCAACAUCUUGCUCAAAUUUCCUCCUUCAUUGGAGGCCUGGACUCUUGGCUCAUGGCCUCUCCCUCCUACCCUAUUCCUGUUACCAUCCACCAUGACUUAAGCAUCUAUGAUGGGUGAUCCAACCGAAGCUCCAUAACCUCAGUUCCUCACCAUCUUUACUUCCAUUGAUCUUUUCUAACAUUCCACUGCCAAGACUCCCAUGGUUACAGUCUGGGCAUUGUCAUCAUGAGUGAUGGUUCUACUUCUAAAACAUGCUUCCUUCUCUCAUUAACUUCACUUACCUGUCCACACUCUUAGCCUUGUGCCCCC
rnacentral:lncRNA from 1 species